GACGUAGGGCGCGAGCGUUGUCCGGAUUUAUUGGGCGUAAAGAGCUCGUAGGCGGCUUGUCGCGUCGACUGUGAAAUCCCGCGGCUCAACCGCUGGUCUGCAGUCGAUACGGGCAGGCUAGAGUUCGGUAGGGGAGACUGGAAUUCCUGGUGUAGCGGUGAAAUGCGCAGAUAUCAGGAGGAACACCGAUGGCGAAGGCAGGUCUCUGGGCCGAUACUGACGCUGAGGAGCGAAAGCGUGGGGAGCGAACAGG
rnacentral:rRNA from 1 species